rnacentral:rRNA from 1 species
GAUGAACGCUGGCGGCGUGCCUAAUACAUGCAAGUCGAACGCUGGAGAUCUAGCUUGCUAGAUCGAAGGAGUGGCGAACGGGUGAGUAAUACAUAAGCAACCUACCCACGAAGACUGGGAUAAUCUCUGGAAACGGGGACUAAUACCGGAUAGGUAAUCGGAAGGCAUCUUCUGAUUAUUAAAGGUUAAAAACACUGGUGGAUGGGCUUAUGGCGCAUUAGUUAGUUGGUGAGGUAACGGCCCACCAAGACGAUGAUGCGUAGCCGGCCUGAGAGGGUGAACGGCCACAUUGGGACUGAGACACGGCCCAGACUCCUACGGGAGGCAGCAGUAGGGAAUUUUCGGCAAUGGGGGAAACCCUGACCGAGCAACGCCGCGUGAGUGAUGACGGCCUUCGGGUUGUAAAGCUCUGUUGUAAGGGAAGAACGGUAGAUAGAGGAUAUCUAAGUGACGGUACCUUACCAGAAAGCCACGGCUAACUACGUGCCAGCAGCCGCGGUAAUACGUAGGUGGCGAGCGUUAUCCGGAAUUAUUGGGCGUAAAGGGUGCGUAGGCGGCCUGUUAAGUAAGUGGUUAAAUUGUUGGGCUCAACCCAAUCCAGCCACUUAAACUGGCAGGCUAGAGUAUUGGAGAGGCAAGUGGAAUUCCAUGUGUAGCGGUAAAAUGCGUAGAUAUAUGGAGGAACACCAGUGGCGAAGGCGGCUUGCUAGCCAAAGACUGACGCUCAUGCACGAAAGCGUGGGGAGCAAAUAGG